CUGUGUGUAGUUGAAUGCCUCCUCUAAGGCUCAACGUUGGCUAGAGCUAUGUGGCGAUUGGGGAGGGGUGGCACUACAAGAGCACGAUUGUUUCCCCUCUUCUAACUGUGGAGUUUAGGACUGAGAGAGGACGACGUAGCACACUAGCUAGUCAGUAGGAGUAGCUGAUUCAACCCUGAACUGCGCAUGAGGAGGGACAUAGGUGUCUGGAGUAUAAACAUAACUAACCCUGACCCAUGUACACAAAGUGUGGUGUGACCUGCUUCUUCCCGGAGCUAAGCUCGGGCUGUCAGCUGUGUGUGGUGAGGCAGGUAAGUCAGGUGAGAAGUGUUCUGGAAGGAUAUAGGUCACUGGAUACAGGUGUGCCUCAUCAAGUAGUUGUUCCUGAGCAGGUAUGAGCCCCGCCCCGUCCUCUCUGUGGAACUAACCUCUCUGGUGAUUCAGCUGGCUGGGAAACAUUCAUACAGCCUGUGUGUUGGGUUUGUUGUCAUAGCCUUUCUCUUCUCCUGUCUGCCACCAGCCUCUCUCAGUCCAUAGUCUUUAUUCUCUCCAUUCCUGCUCAUAGUCUUUCUUUUCUCCCCCCCUCUCCCUCUCUGCCCCUCC